GAUAUUAUUAGAAGUUAGAAUGGACUUCAACUAUUAUCUAAUAUUGUUAGAUAGUAGUUGAAGUCCUAAGUUUUAACCAAUCAAUAUCACACGUUAAUGAUUGGUCAAAACUUAGUAAUCCUCAAAAUACAACGCAUGGUGAUCGAAUCAUCAUUUUCGUGAAAAAUGGACAAAAACAGUUCUUCCUCCUUUUUCGUCAGUUGAAUAACAUAAGCAUGUAAUAAGUUGAAUUUAAAAUGCAUUAAAUGACAUAUUGCUUUUAUACAAAUACUUCUAAGUGACAUUUGCAGUAUAUAUUUUAUGAUACCAUGAAUAUAUUUUUAAAACUUUUUUAAAGGGGUCACUUGCGUUUACUAAAUCAGAUGUUACAAUAUCCUAUUUGCCUUUAGCACAUUGUUUCGAGCAAACUGUUGAAGCUGUAAUGUUUAUGGUAGGUGGAAGCAUAGGUUUCUAUUCUGGCGAUGUUAAUUCACUUUCAGACGAUAUGAAAGUUUUAAAACCCACUUUUUGGCCAGCAGUACCUAGAAUGAUGAACAAGCUCUAUGAUAU